rnacentral:rRNA from 1 species
GGAGGGCAAGUCUGGUGCCAGCAGCCGCGGUAAUUCCAGCUCCAAUAGCGUAUAUUAAAGUUGUUGCAGUUAAAAAGCUCGUAGUUGAACCUUGGGUCUGGCUGGCCGGUCCGCCUCACCGCGAGUACUGGUCCGGCUGGACCUUUCCUUCUGGGGAACCUCAUGGCCUUCACUGGCUGUGGGGGAAACCAGGACUUUUACUGUGAAAAAAUUAGAGUGUUCAAAGCAGGCCUUUGCUCGAAUACAUUAGCAUGGAAUAAUAGAAUAGGACGUGCGGUUCUAUUUUGUUGGUUUCUAGGACCGCCGUAAUGAUUAAUAGGGAUAGUCGGGGGCGUCAGUAUUCAGCUGUCAGAGGUGAAAUUCUUGGAUUUGCUGAAGACUAACUACUGCGAAAGCAUUCGCCAAGGAUGUUUUCAUUAAUCAGGGAACGAAAGUUAGGGGAUCGAAGACGAUCAGAUACCGUCGUAGUCUUAACCAUAAACUAUGCCGACUAGGGAUCGGAUGGGAUUCUAUAAUGACCCGUUCGGCGCCUUACGGGAAAC